AUGGCAGCUGUCAAGUAUUUCCCAUCUAUCCACGACAAAACAGACAACAAGAAAACCUGGCCUUUUUUUGACCCUGUGCCAAACCAGAAAAACUCUUUGCCCAUCGGUUCCAGAAACGACUGCUCUGCUAACAACUUGAAUGAUGGUGUUGAUCAGCAGCUCGAAGCUCCAGCAGCCUGGAAGACAUCAAACAUUUUGCCGGUGCCUGAUUACCAGCCUCUGGAUGUUUUCAGUGCGCCAGAAGAAGAUCCUACUGUAGCGUCAUGGAGCGAGGCGGAUGAUAUCUGUGAGCUCUGCAUCAGGCUCAAAGAAAUUGAGCUAUGCAACAUGAUAGGAGAGACAACGAGCAACCGGGAGAAAAAAUUUCUGAGGAACAUCGGGUAUUACAGGGUCAAGCAGAAGAGGAGAAAAAAGAAAUAAAAAAACUCAGAAAGAUAAAAAUAUUAAAAUGAACUGCAAUGACAAGCAAUUACGCUUCUGAGCUGAAAUGUUUUUCUGUUUGUGUGGGUUCUCAGUUUAGCCAUUUGACUGUUUUUCCUACUAUGUGAUCCCAGAGGGAAGUAGAGUGCAUCUUUGUCCAUCAGUUUUUAUCAUUAUACAUUAAAAACACUGUGUAAACACUGGAAACCUGCAAAACCACAAACAUUCUAAUAUCACAAAAAUCUAGUUCGUUGUACUAAACCUCAACACUUUCAGACAGCGAGUAGUGCGUUGUUUUUAAAAUACAUUUCUGACUGGCUGCCACGGCUCACUGCAACCAUGCCAGCCACAGAAACCACAGCAAGAGAAACAUUACAGGAGAUCAUUUACAGCCCAAAAUGUUUAAGCUACUACUGUGGGUUUGAAUGAUUAAGGGUUAAAAACAACCCUUACGUGUCUGUUAAGGGCAAAGUAGAAUUUGGCAGAUGGGGGAACUUUAAGGCAGCGCUGAUAAAUGAUUGACCUUAAAAAUUAAUUCGUCCUGAGAACUCUGGUGGACUUGCUCUGAUUGAGAAAGGCGAUCAGCUCACUUGCUUAUGGCUCUGAUGUUUCCAAGUCUUUGUGGAUUUAGGCAACUGUAUUCUACAGAAUACAUUUAAAGUUGGGGAGGUGUGUUUUUUGUUGUUUUGUUGUUGUUGUUUUUUUUUUAUUUCUAGUCCAUUUUAUUUACUGGUUAUAACACCAACACUGCAGCAGGACUGGUUGAAUGAAGUAAGCAGUCACUGAGGGAAAGAGGAACGAUAUCUGUAUUGAAGAACUGCUGGUCAUCACCCAGUAAUGACUUAGCUUCCGAGGGCAGAUAUGCGAUUUCCUAAACUGGAAGUCUUGAAAUACUGGACCCCAGGAGCUAUAUUACAAUUAAAUCAAGAUGGCUGAUGGAUUUGCGAACCCAUCAGCUAGUCUGAUGGGUUUUAUCAAGAUCUGUGAAUAGAAGG
ensembl:lncRNA